GGGAGCAACCUGUGAAUUUUCCCAAGAACCAAGGGCCCUGCAAAAAAUUUGAAUUUGACGCAAAAUUCACUCAUUUAUUACUUAUUCGCAUGAGGAAUUCUGGGCUAUAUGAGGUCCAGGCCUUGCCAUGACAGGGCUCCCAAGCAGGUGAAAGCCCAGAAUCCUGAAUUGACCAAUCACAUGAGUGCAUAACGCGAUUACACCAAUCAGCAUCUAUGUUUGAGUGUCUUUGCGCCUCGAAGCAGCCAAUAGAAAUAGAACAACGGGAUAGGAGGUGGGGCCUGCCUGGCCUCACAACAAUCCCUGGUGACGCCUGCGAUCUUCUGUGGAGUCCUAGUAAUGCCAGAUCCAGCUGUCUUACUGGUCAUGUUUCAGGUGGUUGAAUAAAUGACUCAUGAGAGCAGUGAUGACAGCACAGAAAAUGAUGCGUCCAGCGACCACUUUGUCAUAGCACUCAUGGCCCUCUUAUGCUGCUGCCCACUAGGACUUCCAUCCAUAAUCUGUUCUUACUGGGUGGGAACCUGCAUGAUGCCAAUCCUCAUCCUCCCUCUCCCUCUUGACCCUGACCCUGACUCAGCUUUUUUCCUCCCUCUUGUGAUGGGAGCCUGAGCUAUGGUUGAGAUGCCCACACUGGGUCCUUACAGUCCCAUAGCUCACCCGCUUUGAGAACUCAUUUCAUGCUCAUCUUUUCCUGUUUCCUCUCCCCUGAAACUCAGACGAUACGCUACAAUCAAGCCAAACAAUAUGACAAGGCAGCCAGGACCUCUGAUAUAGCCUACUGCUUGGCCAUCACAGGCAUUAUUUUGGCCCUGUUGCCGGUCCUCAUUGUAGUCCUCAUAUCAUUGAUGAUAAGGUGACCUUCUUGCCACAUGAACAAACCAUCAAAUACAUGCAACAAUGUAACUAAACCCUGUGUUUUAAUCAGCUUUUUGGUCACUGUGAGCUAAAGACCCAACAAGAACAACAUAGACGAGGAAAAGUUUAUCUGGGGUCCGUGGUUUCACAGGCCUCAGUCUAUAGAUGGCCAAAUCUGUUGCUCUGGGCUCAUGGUGAGAUGGAAGAGUAUGACAGA